GUUAAGCGACUAAGCGUACACGGUGGAUGCCCUGGCAGUCAGAGGCGAUGAAGGACGUGCUAAUCUGCGAUAAGCGUCGGUAAGGUGAUAUGAACCGUUAUAACCGGCGAUUUCCGAAUGGGGAAACCCAGUGUGAUUCGUCACACUAUCAUUACGUGAAUACAUAGCGUAAUGAAGCGAACCGGGGGAACUGAAACAUCUAAGUACCCCGAGGAAAAGAAAUCAACCGAGAUUCCCCCAGUAGCGGCGAGCGAACGGGGAGCAGCCCAGAGUCUGAAUCAGCUUGUGUGUUAGUGGAACGGUCUGGAAAGUCCGACGGUACAGGGUGAUAGUCCCGUACACCAAAAUGCACAGGUUGUGAACUCGAAGAGUAGGGCGGGACACGUGGUAUCCUGUCUGAAUAUGGGGGGACCAUCCUCCAAGGCUAAAUACUCCUGACUGACCGAUAGUGAACCAGUACCGUGAGGGAAAGGCGAAAAGAACCCCGGCGAGGGGAGUGAAAAAGAACCUGAAACCGUGUACGUACAAGCAGUGGGAGCAUCCUUUUGGGUGUGACUGCGUACCUUUUGUAUAAUGGGUCAGCGACUUAUAUUCUGUAGCAAGGUUAACCG
rnacentral:rRNA from 1 species